CUGGACAUGGCACUUAGUGCUCUGGUCUCAGAGACAAGGAUCUGGAGCUUCAUGGGUCAGUGGAAAGGGCUGUAUGCCAUUGCAACUACAACUGGAAGUAACAUCUGGAAAAUCUCUUCCAUGACAUCCCAACCCAAUGAGAUUUCAAAUUGCUUCAUAGGUUGCCUAAGAACCUGGCAAUUACUGCCUGGAGCCAGUGGCAUCUCAACAACAACAGGACUACUGCAGCUACCAUUAAUCGAGUGUCAUGAUAACAGCAACAGGUGAAGCAAGGAAAAACAGCAAGGGACAAUUGCAGGCUGUAAAGAUUCUUAA